GGAUGUAAGGGCUAUCUGGCUGCAACAUCUGUCACCCCACUGAUAGCCAGGGUUGGCUAGGAGGGUGUCCCCUUCCUCCCUCACCCCUCCAUGUGUGUCCCUCCCGAAGCUGUGCGCUUGGUCAAAGAGGACGACCAUUCCCGACAGAGGAGGACUGGUCUUCGGUCAAGCGUAUACAAGUAACUGCACUCCCCUGCUAGAACCUCCAUUCAAGCUCUCAAAAAAUAGGAAAAAAAAAUUAGCGGCUUGGGAGGCUGAGGUGGGAGCCUGAGCCCAGAGAGGUCGAGUGAGCCAUGAUUGUGUCACUGCACU
rnacentral:snRNA from 1 species